GGGAGAUAUUGUUCGUUGAAAUAUCAAUUAUUGGCUUGUACUAUUAUUUGUGAACUGGUGAGAGAGCAGGGCAGAAAUGGCUUAUGCACUCAUCGUUUCUCUCAAGCAAACUUUAGAGCCCCUUGUUGAUUCCGUUGGAUCGAGAAUUCAAAUUCCCAACCCAGAGCUAAAAAUUAUAUACGACGACCUCUGUUACCUAAAAUCCUUCUUUGAUAAAUUGAAUUCUUUGGAAGACAGCAACAGCGUUGAGGAACUGGACAAACAAAUCAAGGAUGUACUGGAGAGAAGUCAAGAUCUGAUCGAGUUCCAUUUAUCAGAUCUAGUUCAUUCUGGAUCUGGGAGCUCGAUUUCAGGCUUCUCCCGAGAACUGGUGGAAGUCAAAGAAAAAGUGGGUUCCUUAGUCAACAUGUCCAAGGCCAAGGAAGAUUAUCUCACCCAACCGCAGCCAUCGCCCCCUAGUCUUGGCUGGAACAGCAAGAUAGUGGGCUUGACGGAUGUUGAUGUUAAAUCGAGAAAUCAUUUUGGCAGGAAUAAAGAGAUAGUGGGAUUGGAGGAAGAAAAGAUGACGCUGAAACAACGGCUUCUUCGGGAAAGUAAUGAUCUCGCUGUUUUUUCUAUUGUUGGAAUGGGUGGGAUCGGCAAAACCACUCUGGCCAAAGAGGUGUAUCUCGAUCCACUUAUUAAAGAUCAUUUUGAUACCUUUUUAUUUGUGGAAAUAGAUUUCGAAUAUGACUUCCAAGCUUUACUGCUGCGUCUUGUUGGUCAAUUGCUUUAUGUGGAAAAUGAAGAAAUGUCGGAUUACGAAUUAGGAGUGACUCUGUAUAAAUAUUUAUUUCGUAGGAGGUACCUGAUUGUAUUAGAUGACGUGUGGAGUAUUGAGGCCUGGGAUCGACUCCGACCUUUCUUCCCAAAUAACAAAGUGGGCAGUGCAAUCAUCUUGACAACUAGGUUAUAUAACCUGGCUCGUUAUGUUUGCCCCCAAGAAAAUAUUCUUCAAAUGCGUUUGCUGAAUGAAGAGAAAAGUUGGGAGUUGCUUUGUAAGAUGGCAUUCCCUGACAUAGAGCAGUGUCCUUUGGAACUUGAGGAAAUGGGGAUGAGAAUUGUCAAAACACUGGGAGGCCUUCCCCUUGCAAUAGUUACGAUUGGUAAACUCCUAUCGGUGUCACAAAGGACUGCAGAAAAUUGGAGGGCAGUAGCACAAAACAUGACUUCACCUAUCCGGGAAUCAACCAUCCCAACCUUUCUCAACCUAUCUUACACUCAAUUGCCUCAAUGUCUAAAGGCAUGCUUUCUCUACCUCGGAAUAUUCCCACCAAAUUAUAAUAUCCCUGCUUCUCAACUCAUUAAAUUAUGGAUUGCUGAGGGAUUUAUCGAGCCUGCAGCAGAUAAAAGCUUAGAACAAAAGGCCGAGGAAUAUCUGGAGGACCUUGUUUCCAGAAGUCUAGUUAUAGUUCAGGAGGUGAACUCUAUUGGUAGAAUAAAGACUUGCAGAAUCCAUCAGCUCCUUCGAGACCUAUGCGUCAAUGAAGCUCAACAGCAGAAAUUAUUCCAUGUAAACGAGGGAACUACAAGUUCAAGAAACCAACGGCGGCUGGGCAUCCACAGUGAUGUUGUACCUGGAGUGUUGGACUCAGUUUCACGCUUACUGCGUUCUCUUGUUUUUAUCUGCCCAUACCAUCAACAGGCGAUUCAGCGCUUUAGAUGGCUGAGGGUAUUCCAUGCACUUUCAAUCAGAUAUUGCAAGUUUCCAGAUGAAGUGCUAAAACUAGUUCGGUUGAGGUACCUGGCCAUCACGUAUGACGGGGAGGAGCUCCCGUCAUCCAUAUCCAGACUCUGGAACCUUGAAGUCUUGAUUAUUCACAAAAGUCAGAGCAUCAAGUCCUCUGUGUUGCUUCCGUUAGAGAUCUGGAAGCUGCACAAACUGAGGCACCUACAGUGCAUGGGAUUUGACCUUCCAGAUCCUUCAAUGGAAGAUGCUACGGAUUUUCUUUUCUUUGGAAAGCUUCUGACGCUUUCAGGUGUGAGUGCUCGUAGUUGUAUCAACGGAGUUCUUGCAAGGAUGCCUAACCUAAUCAAGUUAGGAAUAUGGCUUGAGCCAACAACAACUGAGUAUGCAAUUGAAACUUUUUGUUUUGAUGCUAUUUUUACCCAUCUCCGUCGGCUAGAGUCAUUCAAAUGCACACCAAUGAAUCGAUCGGAAGCUGCGUUUUCCCUUACAGGUUUCCCUCCUCUUUGUCUUAGAAAGCUAAGCUUGAGUGGAUGUGGAUUUGUAUGGGGUGAGCAUAUGCCCAUCAUUGCUCAAUUACCGUUUCUUCAAGUACUAAAGUUGCGAUGGCACGCCUUCUGUGGCCAUGAGUGGGAAUCAUACGAGGGGGGGCUUAUGCAUCUUAAAGUCCUGGUGUUGGAAGACUUAGAUAUAAAGCAGUUGAUGGUAGCGGGCUACGUCUUCCCAACUCUGGAACAACUGAUAUUUAGGCGCUGCUACAACCUCGAAGAGAUCCCCCCUGAAUUUGGAGAUAUACCAACACUUCAACUUAUAGAGGUGGAUGAUUGCAGCAUGUCCCUCAUUGAAUCUGCAAAACGCAUACAGGAGGAGCAGCAGGAAGAGUAUGGGAAUUAUGAUCUACAAGUUCGGAUCUGUUCUUCGUCUCAUGGCCAAGUAAAGAAAUUCACAAAUUCAAACAUUGCUAGACAUGUUGAUUUUCCCACCAUCUCAACGACUUGAAGCAAAAAGAUGUGAUUACUACUGAAUUGGACUCCACUUCGGACACUAAAAUGACGCCUGCGCCUAUACCAUUAAAGACUAUCUCACAACUCCAAGAGGAUGAACAGUAUGGUCAAUUUUGGGUUUAUGCUACAAUAUCUUCUCUAGAAAAAAUUGGUGCCUGGGCUUACUUGGCUUGCCAAAGAUGCUUUACCAAAUUGGAGCCCGAUGAUGAUGACUUCUUUUGCCAUAAUUGCAAUACCUAUGAUAUUGCAGGAAGGCUAAGGUACAACCUAACGCUUAGAGUCACCGAUGAAAAUGGGACAGCAACUCUCCAUUUGUGGGAUUGUGAGUUUCUGACAUUGAUGCCCGAAACAGCUUAUGAGUUAAAUGAGGCCGGAGAACUAGAGGAACUACCUAUGGAGAUAGCAUCGCUGAUUAAUAAAAAAGCUUUAUUCAAAGUUUUGGUAAAGGAAGGGCAAACAAAAAAUUUCACCGGAGCUUAGUGUUAUCGAAGUUAUAAGUGACCCUAAUGAGAUGAAGAAAUUUUAUGAGUACUAUAGUGAAAAUCAGGUAAUGAUCAUUUGAUUAUAAGAAAAGACUAUUACUAACUUCUGCUCCCUCUUCCCAUUGAUAAUGACUCAUUUUUUUUUAGUAUGUACCAUUGAUAAUGACCUAUUCCAUAAAAGAAAAUCACCUCCUCUCACAAAUAGUUGUGGACUCCAUCACUUUCUAUCACUUUUACUCUUAAAUCUCUCUUCCUCUUAAUAACUGUGUUAAAAAGAAAUUAGUCAUUAUUAAUGGGACGGGGGAAUACUACUUUGUAAUUUGAUGAAGUUUUGACUUUUCACGUGUGAU